UACGAAGGGUGCUAGCGUUGUUCGGAAUUACUGGGCGUAAAGAGCGCGUAGGCGGUUAUACAAGUCAGGGGUGAAAUCCCGGAGCUUAACUCCGGAACUGCCUUUGAAACUGUAUAGCUGGAGUGUGUGAGGGGAUAGCGGAAUUCCUAAUGUAGAGGUGAAAUUCGUAGAUAUUAGGAGGAACACCGGUGGCGAAGGCGGCUAUCUGGCACACAACUGACGCUGAGGCGCGAAAGCGUGGGGAGCGAUCCGG
rnacentral:rRNA from 1 species